UCGUAACAAGGUUUCCGUAGGUGAACCUGCGGAAGGAUCAUUAUCAAAACAGCGGACUUCGGUCCUUGCUGCACCCUUGUCUUUUGCGUACCGUAUGUUUCCUCGGCGGGCUUGCCUGCCGGUUGGACAUUAUCAAACCUUUUUGUAGUUGCAAUCAGCGUCAGAAAAUAAACAAUAAUUACAACUUUCAACAACGGAUCUCUUGGUUCUGGCAUCGAUGAAGAACGCAGCGAAAUGCGAAAAGUAGUGUGAAUUGCAGAAUUCAGUGAAUCAUCGAAUCUUUGAACGCACAUUGCGCCCCUUGGUAUUCCAUGGGGCAUGCCUGUUCGAGCGUCAUUUUGUACCCUCAAGCACUGCUUGGUGUUGGGCGUUUGUCCUGCAAAGGACUCGCCUGAAAGCGAUUGGCGGCCAACGUACUGGUGGUAGAGCGCAGCACAAUUUGCGUCUCUCCCUUCUACGUCGGCGUCCAUGAAGCCUUUUUUCAACGUUUGACCUCGGAUCAGGUAGGGAUACCCGCUGAACUUAAGCAUAUCAAUAA
rnacentral:misc_RNA from 2 species